rnacentral:lncRNA from 1 species
AAAAUUGACACAUCAACCUUCGAUUUCAGCAAAAACUUAAGUACACAAAAAUACCCUCAUAUAUAUCAUGGAUUCUAAGUUUUAAGGUCAACGAUAUUUAAAUAAUUUUCAUUCUCUAAACUAAAAAAAAAAAAAACCAAACCCUUAUUCACCUCCCUUAUUCUUUUCAACCCUUUCUCUUUCAUCUCUCUCACUCCAACAUUUUCUCUGUCAUCCCUACUGUUGCUCCAAUUGAAAAAAAAAAAUCANAAACCCUUGCCUAACCCUAAUCCACCUUCCUCACUUAUCCAAUUUGUUUCUCUCUCGUCUCCAUACUCUCCCUCAGCCACAC